AGCUUUGCGCAGAGGUGAUAACGUGACCAAUGAGGCUCUGUCGAGGUGCGUUUAUUGCUGGUUGAAAACUUUUCUGUAUUGUGUAUUAUAUGUUAGACAGAGCGAAGGAAAGCAAAAGCCGGAAACAGCACGGAUAAGAAAAGCGACAGUACAGCUCCAGUUCACUUAUCUCUCAAAUUAUGCGUAUUUAUCUCUAAU
rnacentral:snRNA from 14 species